rnacentral:rRNA from 1 species
UACGGAGGGUGCAAGCGUUACUCGGAAUUACUGGGCGUAAAGCGUGCGUAGGUGGUUUGUUAAGUCUGUCGUGAAAGCCCCGGGCUCAACCUGGGAAUGGCGAUGGAUACUGGCUCGCUAGAGUGCGGUAGAGGAGAGUGGAAUUCCCGGUGUAGCAGUGAAAUGCGUAGAGAUCGGGAGGAACAUCAGUUGCGAAGGCGGUUAUCUGGACCAGAACUGACACUGAGGCACGAAAGCGUGGGGAGCAAACAGG